rnacentral:rRNA from 1 species
UACAGAGGGUGCGAGCGUUAAUCGGAAUUACUGGGCGUAAAGCGCGCGUAGGCGGCUUUGCAAGUCGAGUGUGAAAUCCCCAGGCUCAACCUGGGAACUGCUCUCGAGACUGCAUCGCUAGAGUAUGGGAGAGGGAAGUGGAAUUUCAGGUGUAGCGGUGAAAUGCGUAGAUAUCUGAAGGAACAUCAGUGGCGAAAGCGACUUCCUGGGCCAAUACUGACGCUCAUGUGCGAAAGCGUGGGGAGCAAACAGG